rnacentral:rRNA from 1 species
AGAGUUUGAUUCUGGCUCAGGAUGAACGCUAGCGGCAGGCCUAAUACAUGCAAGUCGAACGGUAAACGCCCCUUCGGGGGUGUGAGAGUGGCGCACGGGUGCGUAACGCGUAUGCAACCCACCCGCUGCCGGGGGAUAGCCCGGAGAAAUCCGAAUUAAUACCCCAUGAGGAGUGAGGGAGGCAUCUUCUUCAUUUCAAAACUUCGGUGGCGGCGGACGGGCAUGCGUGCCAUUAGAUAGUUGGCGGGGUGACGGCCCACCAAGUCGACGAUGGCUAGGGGAUCUGAGAGGACGGUCCCCCACACUGGUACUGAGACACGGACCAGACUCCUACGGGAGGCAGCAGUAAGGGAUAUUGGUCAAUGGGGGGAACCCUGAACCAGCCAAUGCCGCGUGAGGGAAUAAGGCCCUACGGGUCGUAAACCUCUUUUGCCGGGGGAUAAGGAUACCUACGUGUAGGUAUUUGAAGGUACCCGGAGAAUAAGCAUCGGCUAACUCCGUGCCAGCCGCAGC